rnacentral:lncRNA from 7 species
GUACACACUAGUUAUUAGGGUUUCCUAGUUUAGUGCUCUAUUAGGAUUAGGUAUUUAAAUCCUAGAAAGCUAGUGCCUUAGGUUUGGGGCCAACCAAUGUCCAAAGCAUGUCAAACUCUACCCAAGGGCUUUAAUCCUUGAGUUAAGCUUACCCAAAAAGUUUUACUAUUUUGGAGCUAUCAAUUAAAUUCUAAAAUUCUAAAUGGCUAGGUUUAGGCAUCUUUAAAUGCUAAAUAAUUCCUGGUUUGGACUAAAAAUCUUGAAACUAUUUUUAUUAAAAACUAGAUGAAUUUAGGAGUCUAGUAAAAUCGGUCUCAUGAUUUUAUAAUUUUUUAAGAAUUUUCUAUAAAUGUCCAAGUUUGGAAGAAAAAAUAAAAGGAAAAAGAAGGAAUAGUAUUGGGCUGAAACCAGCCCAAACCGGCCCACCAACAGGGGAAACCCGCGCCCGCGCGCGCCCGCACUGACCAUCUUGCGUAGAGGCCCUCGACUUUUUGAAUAACCGGCAAAGAAGUCGUGGAACUAUUCAUGUGUCUCUCUGACAUUUGCGCAAAACCCCUCACCCUUCUUUCUCUUCACAACUCCAAGUCCCCGACGGUGAACGACAGCGUGCGCGCUCUCCGGUGCACUCGUACCGGCCAGAAUACGCAACAACCAGUGUCCUAACUUGGUCUACACCUAAUUCCACCCCUGGCGAUCCUAAUCCAUCCCUUAAUUAAGGUAGUCCGGCCCAGAGUUCAUCUACCCACGACGGCGGCAAGACCCAAGGGAAAACCGAGGUGUUCCCGACGACUAGGUGCGGUAUAGUUUAAUUGGAAGGGUCGACGAGUAUCACAAGCAUGCUAGUUAGAGUGCUGAAACACGAAUCAGGAGGGCGAGAGCGGACCUGUAGACGGCUGACCACGACGAGGUGACUCGUGGUGGUGCGAAGAGUGGAUUUGGGGGAAAAACGAAAUUAGGGCGCUACGGUGGACGAUCGGAGGCGAGGGCUAGUGUUCUGGCUUCGUAACUACCUAGCGGAGCUAACGGUGCACUCAAUUUAUAGCCUCUGAGAGCGAUGGGCUCCGAAUUUUGAAGGGGAAAGCUGGC